AUAAACGACUCUCGGCAACGGAUAUCUCGGCUCACGCAUCGAUGAAGAACGUAGCAAAAUGCGAUACUUGGUGUGAAUUGCAGAAUCCCGUGAACCAUCGAGUUUUUGAACGCAAGUUGCGCCCGAAGCCAUUCGGCCGAGGGCACGUCUGCCUGGGCGCCACGC
rnacentral:rRNA from 1 species